AAGACAAAUAAAUCUUGUUUCUGCUUUUAGACUUACCCUCAAAAAAUGUUCAGAUCUGUUUAAUGUGGUGGAGAUGCAACUAAUGCUGAAAUGAAUCUUAAACCCGAUGCUGAAAUGAAUCUUAAACCCGACGUGCCUUGAGUAGCUCUCUGGGGAGCUGCAGUGAAGCAGGUGCUUCCAGUGUAGCUCUGGCCUCGGCUCUGGGAGCAGCACCUGGCGUCCAGGAAUGAAUGGCUCCUCCUUCCAUGAUUUGUCACUGAGCCAAACUACCUGGACCUCCACUCUGGCUGCGGGCAGGCUCUCUUUCUCCGUGCCUCUGCUUACCCAUCUGUGAAAUGGAAAUGACACAGAAGGCCAAUGCGGAUGACUGGAGGGAGAACCCAGAGCAGAAGGUGCUCACCGCAAACUCUCGGUAGAUAUGGGCGACAUUCCUUGUGCGUUUUAUUCCCUUGACUGUUUUGAG
rnacentral:lncRNA from 1 species